GACGAACGCUGGCGGCGUGCUUAACACAUGCAAGUCGAGCGGUAAGGCCCUUUCGGGGGUACACGAGCGGCGAACGGGUGAGUAACACGUGGGUGACCUGCCCUCAGCUCUGGGAUAAGCCUGGGAAACCGGGUCUAAUACUGGAUAUGACUCCAUGACGCAUGUUGUGGGGUGGAAAGCCUUGUGCGGCUGAGGAUGGGCCCGCGGCCUAUCAGCUUGUUGGUGGGGUGANGGCCUACCAAGGCGACGACGGGUAGCCGGCCUGAGAGGGCGACCGGCCACACUGGGACUGAGACACGGCCCAGACUCCUACGGGAGGCAGCAGUGGGGAAUCUUGCGCAAUGGGCGAAAGCCUGACGUAGCGACGCCGCGUGAGGGAUGACGGCCUGGUGUAAC
rnacentral:rRNA from 1 species